rnacentral:rRNA from 1 species
UACGAAGGGGGCUAGCGUUGCUCGGAAUUACUGGGCGUAAAGCGCACGUAGGCGGCUUUGUAAGUUAGAGGUGAAAGCCCGGGGCUCAACUCCGGAAUUGCCUUUAAGACUGCAUCGCUAGAAUUGUGGAGAGGUAAGUGGAAUUCCGAGUGUAGAGGUGAAAUUCGUAGAUAUUCGGAAGAACACCAGUGGCGAAGGCGACUUACUGGACACAUAUUGACGCUGAGGUGCGAAAGCGUGGGGAGCAAAUAGG